AUGCAGCCAUGCCGCGUGUGUGAAGAAGGCCUUCGGGUUGUAAAGCACUUUCAGUCGUGAGGAAGGCAGCUAAGUUAAUAGCUUAGUUGUUUGACGUUAGCGACAGAAGAAGCACCGGCUAACUCCGUGCCAGCAGCCGCGGUAAUACGGAGGGUGCGAGCGUUAAUCGGAAUUACUGGGCGUAAAGCGCAUGCAGGCGGUCUGUUAAGCAAGAUGUGAAAGCCCGGGGCUUAACCUCGGAACAGCAUUUUGAACUGGCAGGCUAGAGUCUUGUAGAGGGGGGUAGAAUUUCAGGUGUAGCGGUGAAAUGCGUAGAGAUCUGAAGGAAUACCGGUGGCGAAGGCGGCCCCCUGGACAAAGACUGACGCUCAGAUGCGAAAGCGUGGGGAGCAAACAGGAUUAGAUACCCUGGUAGUCCACGCCGUAAACGAUGUCUACUUGGAGGUUGUGGCCUUGAGCCGUGGCUUUCGGAGCUAACGCGUUAAGUAGACCGCCUGGGGAGUACGGUCGCAAGAU
rnacentral:rRNA from 1 species